CCUACGGGGUGCUGCCGUGAGGAAUAUUGGUCAAUGGACGAGAGUCUGAACCAGCCAAGUAGCGUGAAGGAUGACUGCCCUAUGGGUUGUCAACUUCUUUUAUAUGGGAAUAAACUGUUCCACGUGUGGGAUUUUGUAUGUACCAUAUGAAUAAGGAUCGGCUAACUCCGUGCCAGCAGCCGCGGUAAUACGGGGGAUCCGAGCGUUAUCCGGAUUUAUUGGGUUUAAAGGGAGCGUAGGUGGAUGGUUAAGUCAGUUGUGAAAGUUUGCGGCUCAACCGUAAAAUGGCAGUUGAAACUGGCAGUCUGGAGUACAGUAGAGUUGGGCGGAAUUCGUGGUGUAGCGGUGAAAUGCUUAGAGAUCACGAAGAACUCCGAUUGCGAAGGCAGUUCACUGGACUGCAACUGACACUGAGGCUCGAAAGUGUGGGUAUCAAACAGGAUUAGAUACCCCUGUAGUC
rnacentral:rRNA from 1 species